rnacentral:SRP_RNA from 1 species
ACUGGGCAUGGUGGUGAAGCCUGUUAAUCCCAGUUAAAGUGGAGGCUGAAUCCUCGUGGAUUUCUUGAGUUUUCAAGUUCUCAGAUGCAAGAGGCUAAGCCAAUUGGGUGUCUGCACUAAGUCCAGCAUUAAUAUGGUGAUUCUUGAAAGUGAGGUUUCUUAAGGAGAGGUGAACUGGCUCAACUUAGAAAUAGAGCAGGUCAAAACUUCCAUGCCAGUCAGUAUUGGGAUUGGGCCUAUGAAUAAUCCUUUUGUGCUUCUAGCCUGGACAAGAUGUGGAGACCAAAUCUU